GGAUUAGAUACCCUGGUAGUCCACGCCGUAAACGAUGAGUGCUAGACGUUGGGGGGCUUGCCCUUCAGUGUCGUAGUUAACGCGUUAAGCACUCCGCCUGGGGAGUACGGUCGCAAGAUUAAAACUCAAAGGAAUUGACGGGGGCCCGCACAAGCGGUGGAGCAUGUGGUUUAAUUCGACGCAACGCGCAGAACCUUACCAGCCCUUGACAUGCUGGGUUUCGGCGACUUGAGAAAGUUGCUUUCAGUUCGGCUGGGCCCAGUACAGGUGCUGCAUGGCUGUCGUCAGCUCGUGCCG
rnacentral:rRNA from 1 species